UACGAAGGGGCUAGCGUUGUUCGGAAGUCACUGGGCGUAAAGCGCACGUAGGCGGCUUUCUAAGUCAGGGUGAAAUCCUGGAGCUCAACUCCAGAACUGCCUUUGAUACUGGGAGAGCUUGAGUCCGGGAGAGGUGAGUGGAUCUCCGAGUGUAGAGGUGAAAUUCGUAGAUAUUCGGAAGAACACCAGUGGCGAAGGCGGCUCACUGGACCGUUGUUGACGCUGAGGUGGCGAAAGCGUGGGGAGCAAACAGG
rnacentral:rRNA from 1 species